GGUAAAACAGAAAACAAAGACCACGUUUGAUCCUCGCUAUCCAUUUUUGACAGGAAACGAUAGUUCUGGAAGGAUUAUCGAGGCUUUCUCGCGGUCGAAUAAUUAGAUCCGCUGAAACUCGAUCAAUCUUUCGUUAGGCGUGCCUUGUAAGACGAUUUCGUUAAAUUCAAUUUGCCAGCAGUAAGCAUUAUCGAUAUUUCAUCGGCAAUGAAACGACCAUAUAUCGCUGAUAUCGCGAUCAAUAAAAUUUAUCGAUAAACUUGAUGGAAAAAGUCAGAGUUGUCAUAUAAAUACGAACGGCAUGACGAAACUAUCCAGAGUGCUUAUACACGACGAAUUUUUGUAGUUGUGCGUAACUUGUUUUUCAAGGUAAAAUAUUCAUUGAAAUUUUCCUAUAAUUUAGGUAUGUAUGGGACUAAUUAUCAUAUGUUCAGUUUGCCACAGAAAUAACGCUAUCGACCGGGAAAGUUCUCCACUAAAAAUGUAAGAGAAUGCUCGAAUUGGGAACGAGAAAUAUUUUUUCACGAUAUGAUCGUACAAAACCUCGGAAUCAGUCGUUAAGAAGUCGUUCGGGGUACUAGUUUCUUGACACUGACGAUCACCGGACCUUGUUUACACCAGAGUCUAGUGACUAGACUAAAAACACACCUUGUUGAGUCGUGCGCAAGUCGAAUGUUUCAUCCAAAAGAACAAAAAACGUGAGGAUUUUCCGAUAGUGGCGAUGCUUUCAUUUUACACGUUCGUCGUGUUCUCAGUAACCGAGCGUAUUAUAAACGUCUGUUACAUCCGAAGGAUCAUUAGCCACCUGUAUCGGUCGAGGACAAUCUAGAAGAAUUUCCGCGAUCCUUGCCUAAUUGAUUCGAAACUUCACGUUCGUCCAGCGAAAAAGGAAGGAAAGAAAUCAUUUAGGAAAAAGGAACAAGC